UACAUAGGGUGCAAGCGUUGUCCGGAAUUAUUGGGCUUAAAGGGUGCGUAGGCGGCGAUUCAAGUCAGAUGUGAAAUGCCUGAGCUCAACUGAGGCAUUGCGUUUGAAACUGAAUUGCUAGAGUAUCCUAGGGGUGUGCGGAACUGCCAGUGGAACGGUGAAAUGUGUUGAUAUUGGCAGGAACACCGGAGGCGAAAGCGGCACACUGGGGGAUAACUGACGCUGAGGCACGAAAGCCAAGGGAGCGAACGGGAUUAGAUACCCCGGUAGUCUUGGCCGUAAACGAUGAGUACUGGGCGGGAGGGGGUUUCCCCUUUCUGCCGUAGCGAAAGCGUUAAGUACUCCGCCUGGGGAGUAUGGUCGCAAGGCUG
rnacentral:rRNA from 1 species